UACGGGGGGGGCAAGCGUUGUUCGGAAUUACUGGGCGUAAAGGGCUCGUAGGUGGCCAACUAAGUCAGACGUGAAAUCCCUCGGCUUAACCGGGGAACUGCGUCUGAUACUGGAUGGCUUGAGAUUGGGAGAGGGAUGCGGAAUUCCUGGUGUAGCGGUGAAAUGCGCAGAUAUCAGGAGGAACACCAAUGGCGAAGGCAGCUCGCUGGAACGGUACUGACGCUGAGGCGCGAAAGCGUGGGGAGCGAACAGG
rnacentral:rRNA from 1 species